rnacentral:misc_RNA from 1 species
CAGAGUUAUUCUAACUCCCAAACCCAUGUGAACUUACCAUUGUUGCCUCGGCGGAGCUGUUCUGCAGCGCCGCCGGUGGACAUACCAAACUCUUGUUAUAUAUUGUCAUCUGAGAGUCUUAUUUAAUAAGUCA